rnacentral:rRNA from 1 species
GAUUGAACGCUGGCGGCAGGCUUAACACAUGCAAGUCGAGCGGAAACGAUGGUAGCUUGCUACCAGGCGUCGAGCGGCGGACGGGUGAGUAAUACUUAGGAAUCUACCUAGUAGUGGGGGAUAGCACGGGGAAACUCGUAUUAAUACCGCAUACGUCCUACGGGAGAAAGGGGGCAACUUGUUGCUCUCGCUAUUAGAUGAGCCUAAGUCGGAUUAGCUAGAUGGUGGGGUAAAGGCCUACCAUGGCGACGAUCUGUAGCUGGUCUGAGAGGAUGAUCAGCCACACCGGGACUGAGACACGGCCCGGACUCCUACGGGAGGCAGCAGUGGGGAAUAUUGGACAAUGGGGGAAACCCUGAUCCAGCCAUGCCGCGUGUGUGAAGAAGGCCUUUUGGUUGUAAAGCACUUUAAGCAGUGAAGAAGACUCUUCGGUUAAUACCCGGAGACGAUGACAUUAGCUGCAGAAUAAGCACCGGCUAACUCUGUGCCAGCAGCCGCGGUAAUACAGAGGGUGCAAGCGUUAAUCGGAAUUACUGGGCGUAAAGCGAGCGUAGGUGGCUUGAUAAGUCAGAUGUGAAAUCCCCGGGCUUAACCUGGGAACUGCAUCUGAAACUGUUAGGCUAGAGUAGGUGAGAGGGAAGUAGAAUUUCAGGUGUAGCGGUGAAAUGCGUAGAGAUCUGAAGGAAUACCGAUGGCGAAGGCAGCUUCCUGGCAUCAUACUGACACUGAGGCUCGAAAGCGUGGGUAGCAAACAGGAUUAGAUACCCUGGUAGUCCACGCCGUAAACGAUGUCUACUAGUCGUUGGGUCCCUUGAGGACUUAGUGACGCAGCUAACGCAAUAAGUAGACC